UUCAGUAAAUUUGUAGUUGACGACGUUUUGCUUCUCACUCGCACCACCAAGAGUCAGUCUAUGAUUUGCAUCCUACUUGCGCGCACAUAACAACUUUUGCGAAACUGCCCGGUGUGUCUUUGCGGAAGCCUAAAAAAUUGUUCGCUUCUCUCGGAUAGUGGUUGGUUUCCUCUGGGUCCAGAAGCGACAUGAAACCGGACGAUUCCGCAAUCUGUUUUCAAUAUAGUCCCGGCCGCAGCCAAGGAAAUCAAAAAGAAAGCUUUGGGGAUUUCCAGCUCAAGCAACUGUCCCGAAGUGGCCAAUCAGCGUGUCUUCCAGUUUAUCCAUCAUACUAUGGCCAAUUCAACAGGCAGCGAAAAACUUCUCAUUGAAUCAACGGAGACAGUUUGCCAAAACAAACAGUGAACCGGAAAUGAUGGAGGUGAUAUCCAAUCGGAAAAAAAUAUUACUAGGUUCAUAGAUUUAAUUUUAUAACU